UGUGUUGCUCCAUACUGUGGUCU
rnacentral:piRNA from 1 species